AGUAGAGACGGGGUUUCACCGUGUUUGCCAGGAUGGGGAAGUCUAUUUAUUUUAUAAAAUUGUCAGUUCAUCUUAAGAUCUAAUAGUCUUUUGCAAUUAACAGCAACUUAAUUCAGACUACCUCAAAAGAAGAAUUUAACAUUGAUUUUUGUAGGAAAAAAGCAAUUUUAAAGUAGUCUGGGAAAACUUAGGUAAGUUUUCCUUAAUCCUGACUCUUAAUUUGUGGCUAGAAGUGGCAAUGAUAUGAACAUAAGUUGUGCUAUUUAUUAAUUUAUUGCUUUUCAUAAAUCAGCCCCUUUUAUGUAAUUAGGUAAAAAGAGAAAAAUACAUUCUUGAUUUUGGUGACUAGAGUUGUGGAUGCCGGAAAGCUCUGCCACUAAGAUUGAUGAACCAGACGCAUGUCACUGGCCAGUCACAGAUUCUUAAUGCCGGCACCGUGGCCUGGCACUGUCACGUUUUCCAGGGAACCUGCCCGAGCUCCUGCAGAAGCUGCUCCUCGGGCCUAUGGAGUCCCUUAGCUGGUAGGCCCUUCUUUAGUCACCACAGGAUGCCUGCUGUUCAUGAACAGGAAGGAGAGGAUGGGCUUUGAAUAAAACACAGACUUAAAGCCCAUUUUGUGUGACAAGCAUAGCAGUGGUGACUCCUUUCCUUUCUGAUCUUCACCGAACCUCGCUUCUUCACAUUUACCAAAAUGUCUACUUAGAGCCACGGCACCUCUUUGAAUUGUCACAUCUACUGCAUGGUGAUGGUAGAUUUCCUUUUCAUCUGUACUCUGAAGGAAUCCGAAACAGGCAUUUUUACAAGUCUAGGAAGGAAACA
rnacentral:lncRNA from 1 species